rnacentral:rRNA from 1 species
GAUGAACGCUAGCGACAGGCUUAACACAUGCAAGUCGAGGGGCAGCAUAAAAGUAGCAAUACUUUGGUGGCGACCGGCGCACGGGUGAGUAACGCGUAUGCAACCUACCUAUCAGAGGGGAAUAACCCGGCGAAAGUCGGACUAAUACCGCAUAAAACAGGGACACCGCAUGGUGAUAUUUGUUAAAGAAAUUCGCUGAUAGAUGGGCAUGCGUUCCAUUAGGUAGUUGGUGAGGUAACGGCUCACCAAGCCGACGAUGGAUAGGGGAACUGAGAGGUUGGUCCCCCACACUGGCACUGAGACACGGACCAGACUCCUACGGGAGGCAGCUGUGAGGAAUAUUGGUCAAUGGGCGAGAGCCUGAACCAGCCAAGUCGCGUGAAGGAAGAAGGAUCUAUGGUUCGUAAACUUCUUUUGCAGGGGAAUAAAGUGCAGGACGUGUCCUGUUUUGUAUGUACCCUGAGAAUGAGGAUCGGCUAACUCCGUGCCAGCAGCCGCCGUAAGAC